rnacentral:rRNA from 1 species
UACGAAGGGAGCUAGCGUUGUUCGGAAUCACUGGGCGUAAAGCGCACGUAGGCGGAUGUGUCAGUCAGGGGUGAAAUCCCGGAGCUCAACUUCGGAACUGCCCUUGAUACAGCACGUCUCGAGUCCGAGAGAGGUGAGUGGAAUUCCUAGUGUAGAGGUGAAAUUCGUAGAUAUUAGGAAGAACACCAGUGGCGAAGGCGGCUCACUGGCUCGGUACUGACGCUGAGGUGCGAAAGCCAGGGGAGCGAACGGG